AGUGAACGCUGGCGGUAGGCCUAACACAUGCAAGUCGAACGGCAGCACAGGAGAGCUUGCUCUCUGGGUGGCGAGUGGCGGACGGGUGAGGAAUACAUCGGAAUCUACUCUGUCGUGGGGGAUAACGUAGGGAAACUUACGCUAAUACCGCAUACGACCUACGGGUGAGAGCAGGGGACCUUCGGGCCUUGCGCGAUUGAAUGAGCCGAUGUCGGAUUAGCUAGUUGGCGGGGUAAAGGCCCACCAAGGCGACGAUCCGUAGCUGGUCUGAGAGGAUGAUCAGCCACACUGGAACUGAGACACGGUCCAGACUCCUAUGGGAGGCAGCAGUGGGGAAUAUUGGACAAUGGGCGCAAGCCUGAUCCAGCCAUACCGCGUGGGUGAAGAAGGCCUUCGAGUUGUAAAGCCCUUUUGUUGGGAAAGAAAUCCAGCUGGCUAAUACCCGGUUGGGAUGACGGUACCCAAAGAAUAAGCACCGGCUAACUUCGUGCCAGCAGCCGCCGUAA
rnacentral:rRNA from 1 species